AGAGUUUGAUCAUGGCUCAGAGCGAACGCUGGCGGCAGGCUUAACACAUGCAAGUCGAGCGGGCGUAGCAAUACGUCAGCGGCAGACGGGUGAGUAACGCGUGGGAACGUACCUUUUGGUUCGGAACAACCCAGGGAAACUUGGGCUAAUACCGGAUAAGCCCUUACGGGGAAAGAUUUAUCGCCGAAAGAUCGGCCCGCGUCUGAUUAGCUAGUUGGUGGGGUAAUGGCCCACCAAGGCGACGAUCAGUAGCUGGUCUGAGAGGAUGAUCAGCCACAUUGGGACUGAGACACGGCCCAAACUCCUACGGGAGGCAGCAGUGGGGAAUAUUGGACAAUGGGCGCAAGCCUGAUCCAGCCAUGCCGCGUGAGUGAUGAAGGCCCUAGGGUUGUAAAGCUCUUUUGUGCGGGAAGAUAAUGACGGUACCGCAAGAAUAAGCCCCGGCUAACUUCGUGCCAGCAGCCGCGGUAAUACGAAGGGGGCUAGCGUUGCUCGGAAUCACUGGGCGUAAAGGGUGCGUAGGCGGGUCUUUAAGUCAGGGGUGAAAUCCUGGAGCUCAACUCCAGAACUGCCUUUGAUACUGAAGAUCUUGAGUUCGGGAGAGGUGAGUGGAACUGCGAGUGUAGAGGUGAAAUUCGUAGAUAUUCGCAAGAACACCAGUGGCGAAGGCGGCUCACUGGCCCGAUACUGACGCUGAGGCACGAAAGCGUGGGGAGAAAAGGAUUAGAUACCCUAGUAGUCC
rnacentral:rRNA from 1 species